GCACCCACCGCGCAUUAUCUCCAACCGAAAACACGGCCUCCUCACGACGUACGUGGCCGCAGGUUCGUCCUCCAAUCUUUUCCCACGUCCCCCAGUUUUCUCCUCCAUUUCUCCCUCCUCCCCUGGCCGCAUCUCCAGGGGAAAGGAAGCGAGGCGCAGGGAGGGAGUGUGGCACGAGCGCGCCCGCCCCUGAAAAAUGGCGGCCUCCCUCUGGCUGCUGCAGCUCCCUUCUCCUCCUCUCCACAGCAUCGUCUUCCUCUCGACCAGCCACUGCCCCUCUCCUCUUUCCGCGCCUGCGUCGCCUCUGCUGCACAGGAAGCACGCACCGGCCAGAGCCAGAGGCAAUCUUGCCUGCAGCUCAUCUGGUAGCUCCUCGUCCUCUGCUUCCCCUGUUGUGACCAAAGAUCAAGAGGGAGCAGCAGCAGCAGCAGAGGCGACGUCCCCAGUCCCUGCUCCGGCGGCUGUCAGAUACGACUACAAGGAUGACCCCAACUUCAGGGGGUGCAAGGGGUGCGGCCGUGAGGAAACGGAGAGGGGCUGCAACGGCGAAGGGCGGAUCAUGGGCGGCAUAGCCGCCGUCCCCUUGUUCGGGUGGUGGCCGAUCAAGGCCUACCGGCCGUGCCCUGGCUUCGUCGCCUCCGGCGGCCGGUACCGGCGCUACGGCCAGAGCAUGGACGACGUCAUAGCCGGCAAGGGGCGGAAAGUCGCCUCCGACAAGAAGAAAAGUGACAAAUGAUCCACCUCAAGGAACUGGAGUGCACCGCAUGUGCUGGAGAAGGAUGUCCAUUGUUCAACCUUCCUAGAUUUUGUUUCAGGCUCGACGUUGUCUAGCUAGGUCAGAUUGUUCGAGCAGCGCUGUAAUUCAUCCAGCCUGCAGAAUCAAUUCCCAUAUCGAAGUUUUGUACGUAGCUCCGAAUGGACGGCAAAUGUACUCCACUCUUCUAUGUUUACAUCUCGCUUGCCAAAUCUAAUAGCAGCAAAACGGUUUCAGGAAGUUCUAGGUCAGGAGAUUCAUUUUCACACACAACAGCCAAAACAAUGGCCCAUGUAACCACCAGAUGAGCAAAUGCAGCCAAGAGGUGUCAAAGAAUGGUCACUUCUGA
rnacentral:rRNA from 1 species